GACGAACGCUGGCGGCGUGCUUAACACAUGCAAGUCGAACGGAAAGGCCCUGCUUUUGUGGGGUGCUCGAGUGGCGAACGGGUGAGUAACACGUGAGUAACCUGCCCUUGACUUUGGGAUAACUUCAGGAAACUGGGGCUAAUACCGGAUAGGAGCUCCUGCUGCAUGGUGGGGGUUGGAAAGUUUCGGCGGUUGGGGAUGGACUCGCGGCUUAUCAGCUUGUUGGUGGGGUAGUGGCUUACCAAGGCUUUGACGGGUAGCCGGCCUGAGAGGGUGACCGGCCACAUUGGGACUGAGAUACGGCCCAGACUCCUACGGGAGGCAGCAGUGGGGAAUAUUGCACAAUGGGCGGAAGCCUGAUGCAGCAACGCCGCGUGCGGGAUGACGGCCUUCGGGUUGUAAACCGCUUUCGCCUGUGACGAAGCGUGAGUGAGGGUAAUGGGUAAAGGAGCACCGGCUAACUACGUG
rnacentral:rRNA from 1 species